UUUGUUGCCAGUUUUUAUGAGUAUCACAGGUUUUGGAACUUUGUUCUCAGAACUCAGUUCUUUUGAGGAAGAAGAUUACGAAAGCGGUUGUCAUGGUGAUGAAUAUAUUCUAAACUCAACAACAAAUGGAAAUAUAUCGCUAUCACAAGAGUUUUAUGAAUUACCCAAUACAACUGCUGUGAAUUUAACAACCAGCACUGAGCUUCAUUGCUUUAUGUCAAAUAUACGAGUGGUUUAUCUUCAUGCAUAUUGGAGGAAAUCAGGGGCACAAAAUAUCAUCAGCAGUAACAACACCCUUCAUUUAAAAAAUGUAUCAUUCAAUGACACUGGAUAUUACGUCUGCUUUGUUCAAUACCAAACGUGUGGAGGCUUUACCGUGUCAAACACCUCAAGUGACUUAACGAAUAAUAGUUACGGAACCAGUCCCAGUAACGUAAUCAGGGACAGCCAUGUAACCAAUAGCAGUGACGUAACUACGGGCAGUAACGUAACCGCUGGCAGUAACGUAACCAAGGGCAGAGUCGUAAUUAGAAACCUGACCAGAACUGUACACGUCGAUGUUCAGGGUAGUAAAGUUACAGAACAAUUAACUAGAUAAAACUUUCUUUUCCAAAGUUGUGAUUCUAUAUUUUAAUAUUUACAUGUAUGUCUUGCGUACUUUUGUAAUCGCGUACGUGUAUAUAUAGUUAUUCUUGAUAUGUGAUUUGCCUUUUCAUUUCACACUUAAGCUGGAAGGGAAAACUCUUAGUAUUUUCUUUAAAUUCAGGCCCACCUCUAUUGAUUCAACCAACUGACAGAAAAGUAUUUCAUGUCGCCGAGGGACAGCGUAUACAAUUCGUCAUCUCCAUAGCCAGCUCUCCAACACCCAAGCAACGUUUGACCGUUUCCAAGGCAAACAUGGAACAAAAACGCAGCAUUGGUGUAGAAUUUUAUAGUACAGAACGUUCCACACUGAAGGCAGUGGUUGUUCCUCUUGAAAUGCCCCUCUACUCAGCAGACGUGAGAUUGACCAACAUUACAUCAACAUGGACAGGGGACUACAUUCUAUUCGUCAAUAAUUCGCAUGGUUACGUUACUUAUAAUUUCUCUGUCGACGUUGUCAUACAAGAAAAAGCGUCUCUAUGGGACACAAACUCCGAGGUCAUAGUGAUAGGCAGCAUCGGGGGGUUGAUACUUCUGACGCUCGUGGUGGGAAGCUUUGUAAUGUAUCGCACCCGACACAAACAAAAAUUCUUGCAGGAAACUGUGAAAGAGCUAGAGGAAGCAGAGAAGAAAGGAAGUAUGGACAGUCUGGAUAUCUGGCGCCGUGAAGACGGAAAUAAAGAAUUCGAUAAUUCUACACAGGAAGACGACCCAUAUCUUCGACUCCAAAGUUUGAACACUUUUAACAAUCCGGAAGAACCAAUCUAAAAAUGGACGUUAAGGAAAGAUCUUCAGACGGUGACGUUCGGAUUUAUCACCAAUUCAAGAACGCUGUGUUUUAACUUUCACGUCCACCUUUUUUUCAAUUUUUAAAAGAAAUUGUCAUUUAACUUCAACUCUUUAGAUUCCCAUACUGACAUUUUCAUGUUUAACGAUGAAUUCUUUAUCUUACAAGAAAUCUUUCCAAAAUACCAAGUACUGUUCAUCUCAGCUAGACCAUAUAUCUUUAUAUCCAUGCAACAAAGCCACAAUGCAGGACUGUUAUAUUUAGUAUGCAUUUCUAUGGAUCAUUCAAAGGGCUUUAUUAUAGUCGUUGACCAUGAAGGUCAUUGGUCCACUUUGUUUCUUAUGGAAGGAAAUCAGUAUUUCACAUAUAUGUAAUGACCAUAAUACAUGUUGUUGCUAUGAGUUCAAAAAUCUUGCAGCUUCAUUCUGUCAUUGUUUUAUCAGUUUGCUAGAGUUGAGACACAUGGUUAAUAAAAUGUUCAAAUCCUG
rnacentral:misc_RNA from 1 species